rnacentral:rRNA from 1 species
AACGAACGCUGGCGGCAUGCCUAAUACAUGCAAGUCGAACGAGACGUUCGGGACUAGUGGCGCACGGGUGCGUCGCGCGUGGGAAUCUGCCCACGGGGUCGGAAUAACAGUUGGAAACGACUGCCAAUACCGGACGAGGACGUAAGCCCAAAGAUCUAUCGACCAGGGAUGAGCCCGCGUAGGAUUAGCUAGUUGGGUGGGUAAAGGCAUACCACGGCGACCAUCCUUAGCUGGGUUGAGAGGCAGAUCAGCCACACUGGGACUGGGACACGGCCCAGAAUCCUACGGGAGGCAGCAGUGGGGAAUAGUGGACAGUGGGCGAAGGGCUGAUGCAGCACGGCCGGGUGAGUGAUGAAAGCCGUGGAGUUGUAAAGCGCUUUUACCCAGGAUGAUAAUGACAGUACCGAGAGAAUAAGCCCCGGCUAACUCCGUG